UACGUAGGGGGGCAAGCGUUGUCCGGAAUCAUUGGGCGUAAAGCGCGUGUAGGCGGUUCAGUAAGUCCGCUCUGAAAGCCCGGGGCUCAACCCCGGGCCUGCAGUGGGUACGGGCAGACUAGAGUGCGGUAGGGGAGACUGGAAUUCCUGGUGUAGCGGUGAAAUGCGCAGAUAUCAGGAGGAACACCGGUGGCGAAGGCGGGUCUCUGGGCCGUAACUGACGCUGAGGAGCGAAAGCGUGGGGAGCGAACAGG
rnacentral:rRNA from 1 species